GGCGACUCGGGAGUGCGGUCGGCAGCAUACCCUGGCGGUAUCUCGGCUUCGGCGCUUUAACCCUGUAGGGGCGUGCGACUGCGUCCUUCUCAAGAGGGCGCCCCUCGAGCGGCGGACUGAGUGGCGUCCAUCAGCGGGGAGGCGAAAACCCUGGGGGAACUCAGAAGCGGGUGGCGGUGUAGGGCGUGUAAGGAGGAGAUAGCCAGGCCCCUGGGCGGGGGCGGGUCCUGCUUAUCGUCCCCGAGGGGUAGUCUGCUACAGGGGCUCCCGGCGGCCUCCCGCACCGAAGGGACCCUGGGCGUCUGAGGCCCUGAUCCGGGCGGGCCUUCAGGAUGUUAGUAGUCCCCGUUCGGUUGAAGGUAGGAAGCCGAAAACCCGAGUGGGGGACGAACAGACUUACCUCCUGUCGCGCAAAAGAUCCACUAGAUCGUCGUCUCCAAAACCUGAGACCGCGAACGGAUCCCAGAGCCGCAGCGUUCUCUCAGACCUGGCGUUCAGAAAGAUUUUAGCACUGGCAGGUCCCGGAGGUCUCAGACCCGCAGGCCUGCGGGACGGGGGCGGGGUGGCGCCCAGGACGGCUCUCUGGGCUCAGCUUGGCUGCCUGCCUCCUUCUGUAAGUGCUUUUUUCUUUCUUCACCUGGGACCCUCUAGAGGUUGGAAAGAGAAGAGAGGCUGGGAGCGGAUGGAAAGCAUGACUGCAUCUGGAGCCCCUGGGGGCAGUGGGGAAGAGGGAGUGGAAGGACAGUGGCUGAGGGGCUUCCUGUUGCAGCCUUCAGCUGGACUCAGGGUUGGGGUCAUUGGAGGAGGAGGUGGCUUCCUGCCCCAUUGUUCUAGACUGCGGUGUUUCUUGGGAAUACUUACUGUAUGUGGGUUUUCGGUAACCAAAUUGGAAAGCUGUAUUCGUUCCCAUGAUUCAGCAAACAAUGAGUACCUACUAUGUGCAGAGGCAGCAGGACAGCCUGUCAUCACUGGGAAAGAGGCCAGAAGAGCCAUUUGGCCAGGGUCUCCAAUUUAGGCUUUCGACCUUAUCUCUAAGUAAGGUUAUACAUUAUGUCGGCUCCACUGGCUGAUGGGAUCAAAGACCCUCCUUGUAUAUCCUUAAACCUGUACUCUAUUACCAGGCCACUGUGCCUGUGGAGCACUCUAAGUUCUUAUAUUUUAAUAAAUUUUAUAAUUAUCUUGUGAGCAGCACAAUUGUCAUAGUAUUUAACAUUAAUUUGUUAAACAUUUUAAAA